rnacentral:lncRNA from 1 species
CUUUUGUAAUAUUAUGACUUUUAUUCAUUAAAAACAUGAGAGGGGGGUUCAUAGGCUUUAAUAGACUUUUGAAGGGGUUCAGGCAAAAAAAAAGAGUUUAAGAACCCCUGGACUAGAAUAAUAGAGCUUCUCUCUCUUUCUCUCUCUUUUCAAUUUCAAAUCAGCUAUUUUGUACUUUCCUAUUCUUUAUAGGGAUUCCUUAGAGCUUUAAGAUGCCAUUUGUACUAAAUAUUCUUAAAUUUUUGGGAACUAUUAUGUGACCCUGUGUUUUUCCAUUGUUGUUUAAUUUAGGAUUUGCCCCAAUAUCUGGACUUAAAGGAAAACAUGUUUUGUUGUCUAUGACAGGAGUCCUGACCUUGGAGAAACGCAACCACCAAUCUCAUAGGAUUCCAUUGUUUGAGUCAUUGACCAGAACAAGCAGCUCAUAAUGCAGUGAGGAUGUGCACAGAUGGGAACCACUUCAGAAGCCAGAGAGAAAAAUCUCAUGCUACUCACACACUCUUUCACCUAAAAUCCAGAGGGCACUUGCUGCAGCAGAUGCAGAAAUAAAAACACAAUUGAAAAAGGUGGAAAGACUUCAUAAUAUGUGGAAGCUAAAGAAUAUCAUGAAACUGCUGACCAUCCACACCAAGGAAAUCAUGUUUCUAUCAAUGUAUGGGAGAAAGGGCAAAAGAUUAUUGAAGAAAUGGAGAAUUAAAGCAAUCCACUGCAGAUUUCAGCCACAUAAUUGCUAUCCAAAUAUUACACUUACAAUAGUUACAGAAAUAAUAGAGAAGGUGGAAGAAUACCAAUUCAGAAGCCACUUAAAUAAUUCACAUCAUAAAAAUAGCUCUGCUAAAAGCUUUGCUGAGGCUCCUGCUUUCUGCUUUUCAGCUACAGACCAAAGAUGAUUCUAAAUAAAGAACAAUUUCA